AACGAACGCUGGCGGCAUGCCUAACACAUGCAAGUCGAACGAUGCCUUCGGGCAUAGUGGCGCACGGGUGCGUAACGCGUGGGAAUCUGCCUUUCGGUUCGGAAUAACUCAGGGAAACUUGAGCUAAUACCGGAUAACGUCGCAAGACCAAAGAUUUAUCACCGAAAGAUGAGCCCGCGUAGGAUUAGCUAGUUGGUGAGGUAAAGGCUCACCAAGGCGACGAUCCUUAGCUGGUCUGAGAGGAUGAUCGGCCACACUGGGACUGAGACACGGCCCAGACUCCUACGGGAGGCAGCAGUGGGGAAUAUUGGACAAUGGGCGAAAGCCUGAUCCAGCAAUGCCGCGUGAGUGAUGAAGGCCUUAGGGUUGUAAAGCUCUUUUACCCGGGAAGAUAAUGACGGUACCGGGAGAAUAAGCCCCGGCUAACUCCGUG
rnacentral:rRNA from 1 species